GAAUUUUAUAUAAAUCUUUUUAUAUUGUUAUAGAUAUAUUUAUAUUUUGUUGGGGGGAUGAUUAAAUUGAUAAAACUUUAAUUGAUUUUAUUACAUUAAUUUAUGAAUUUAAAGAUUGAUUAAUAAAAUUUAAAAGAAUUAAUUACCUUAGGGAUAACAGCGUAAUAUUUUUAGGAAGUUCAUAUUUAUAAAAAUGAUUGC
rnacentral:rRNA from 1 species